GCGAAGGCCGGGCCUUACCGCUUACAGUACACUUUCAUUCUGCCCUAGGUUGAGCUGUAACUACCCUCCACCCCCAUUCGUAUGGUGAAGCCACUAGGACCUUAGGAUGUGACCUUUGCUUUGGAAAUAGGUGCCGGGUGCGGUGGCUCAUGCCUAGUCAUCCCAGCCCUUUGGGAGGCUGAGGUGGGCAGAUCACCUGAGGUCAGGAGUUCGAGACCAGCCUGGGCAACAUGGUGAAACCCCGUCUCUACUAAAAAUACAAAAAAUUAGCCGGGCGUGGUGGCGGGCGCCUGUAAUCCCACCUACUCGGGAGGCUGAGGCAAGAGAAUUGCUUUAACCUGGGAGGUGGAGGUUGCAAUGAGCCAGGAUCGAGCCACUGUACUCCAGCCUGGGCAACAAGAGAGAGACUCCGUUUUAAAAAACAGAACAAAGAAAAUGAAAAAUACAAAAAUUAGCCUGGUGUGGUGGUGUGUGCCUGUGGUCGCAGCUACUCAGGAGGCUGGGGUGAGAGGAUCGCUGAGCCCAGGAGGUCGAGGCUGCAGUGAGUCGUGAUCAUGCCACUGCACUCUAGUCUGGGCAACAGAGCAAUACCCUGUCUCAAAUAAAUAAAUAAAAAUAGUAAAUUUGGACAUGCGCAGGACACCAUGGGAACGUAGGGGCCGAGACCAGGUGGUGCUUCUGCAAGCCAAGGAACCUCACAGGCUGGCGGCCCCCAGAAGCUGGGAGGCUGGGACUGUCCCCAGGGCCCCCACUCUGCCCACUGCUUGGACUCCGGGCCCCAGGACUGAGAGCACAUUCCUGUUGUUGAAGCUGCUCGGUGGUGGCACCUGGCUCCAGCAGCCGCAGGCAGCGAGUCCACAGGCUCUCCUGUCCCUCCUGUGCCGCCUUCCUCCCCGGAUGGGCCCCGUGAUGAGGUCUCUGUGCGAUGGGGAAACCGAGGCCCCAGCAGACACCUGGGAUGCAGAGACGCCGGCACCGCUAUGUGUCCUCGGGCAAUUCGCUGAACCUUUCUGGGCCUCGGUUUCUCACCCAUUCCAAAAGCUGAUUCUGCUACCGACUGCUGUGAGGGUCCCAGGGGACGGGAAAGCCCGGGCAGCGCCCACCGGCGCUCAGGAGCUUGCUGACUCCGAGGGGGUGGGGCCGGGCCUGGGCAAGGGGCGGGGACGGGGCCUGCUCGACGUGCUCGGCGCUCCUGGGUUGCCUGCUCGGCGCUCCGCUGGCCGCCCUGCGUACGCUCGCAGGGCGCUCGCAGACUCCGGAGUCGCUAACAUGUCGACCGCCAUGAAUUUCGGGACCAAGAGCUUCCAGCCGCGGCCCCCGGACAAGGGCAGCUUCCCGCUGGAUCACUUAGGUGAGCGGCGGAAGGUCGGCGGGCAGGGGUCUGGGAUGGGGGGUCUGGGUCGCGGCCCAGCGCGGAGCCCUAUGGGGUGUCGGCAUCUAGCACGGUGCAGGCGGGGAAACUGAGGCACGGCGGCCCCGCCCCCCGCCCCACCCAGCCCUGGGUCACUGCUGCGGCAUGGACCCUGCAGGUGGGAGCUGGCAGGACCGUGGCCCCCGUGACGAGGGCAGUGACACCGACUCCCUGCGUCAGGCUUCCGGGUCUCCGGCUCCGCCCUGACUCACCCGGCGGGCUGUCUGUGUCCCGGGUUUGCAGAGCGGGGCAUUCGGCGGCCACGAAGCCCGCAGCUGCAGCCGAGGCUUAGACGGUGCCUAGCGAUGUCUGCUGCAAAGCUC
rnacentral:lncRNA from 1 species